CAGCCGCCGCGGUAAUACGAAGGGGGCAAGCGUUAUCCGGAAUGAUUGGGCGUAAAGCGUCUGUAGGUGGCUUUUCAAGUCCGCCGUCAAAUCCCAGGGCUCAACCCUGGACAGGCGGUGGAAACUACCAAGCUGAGUACGGUAGGGGCAGAGGGAAUUUCCAGUGGAGCGGUGAAAUGCGUUGAGAUCGAAAAGAACACCAACAGCGAAAGCACUCUGCUGGGACGACACUGACACUAAGAGACGAAAGCUAGGGGAGCAAAUGGGAUUAGAUACCCCUGUAGUCCCUGUCUCUUAUACA
rnacentral:rRNA from 1 species